AUUGGACGCUGGCGGCAUGCUUUACACAUGCAAGUCGAACGGUAACAGGCCUUCGGGUGCUGACGAGUGGCGCACGGGUGAGUAAUGCAUCGGAACGUGCCCAGAGGUGGGGGAUAACGCAGCGAAAGCUGUGCUAAUACCGCAUGUGAUCUGAGGAUGAAAGCGGGGGACCAGGCAGCAAUGUUUGGCCUCGCGCCUUUGGAGCGGCCGAUGUCAGAUUAGGUAGUUGGUGGGGUAAAGGCCUACCAAGCCGACGAUCUGUAGCUGGUCUGAGAGGACGACCAGCCACACUGGGACUGAGACACGGCCCAGACUCCUACGGGAGGCAGCAGUGGGGAAUUUUGGACAAUGGGCGCAAGCCUGAUCCAGCAAUGCCGCGUGCGGGAAGAAGGCCUUCGGGUUGUAAACCGCUUUUGUACGGAACGAAAAGGCUCUGGCUAAUACCUGGGGCUGAUGACGGUACCGUAAGAAUAAGCACCGGCUAACUACGUG
rnacentral:rRNA from 1 species